rnacentral:rRNA from 1 species
GACUGGGUUGAUAGGCCGGAGAUGGAAGCCAGGUGACUGGUGGAGUUGACCGGUACUAAUAGGCCGAGGGCUUGUCCAU